AGGAGAUUGAUAAAAGAACCUGGCCGAAGUCAGUCUUGUGUUCAAUUCCGCGGUUGGAAGGAUUUCUUUCUGCCAUCUGUCUUUCCCUUCUCUCUCUUCUCUUAGCAAAGGUAGGUUCAAGUCAAACUUUUUUUUGGCUUGCGGGCUCGGGGACUGCAGUCAGCUGCUUCCCUUGUAGUCGUCAGCUCGUUCUUGACAGAUCCGAUCGGGUGUUCAUAAUCUGGAGUAAAAGGA
rnacentral:lncRNA from 1 species